GCCAUCUGCAACAGCUCAGUCAGUAGAGCAUGUGACUGUUAAUCUCAGGGUCGCGAGUUCGAGUCUGACCUUAGGCA